rnacentral:rRNA from 1 species
AACCGGGAAGAGCUCAAAUUUGAAAUCUGGCGUCCUUCGGGCGUCCGAGUUGUAAUCUAUAGAAACGUUUUCCGUGCCGGACCGUGUCCAAGUCCCUUGGAACAGGGUAUCAGAGAGGGUGACAAUCCCGUACUUGACACGACGACCGGUGCUCUGUGAUACGUUCUCUACGAGUCGAGUUGUUUGGGAAUGCAGCUCAAAAUGGGUGGUAAACUCCAUCUAAAGCUAAAUAUUGGUGGGAGACCGAUAGCGAACAAGUACCGUGAGGGAAAGAUGAAAAGCACUUUGGAAAGAGAGUUAAACAGUAUGUGAAAUUGUUGAAAGGGAAACGAUUGAAGUCAGUCGUGACCGUUGGGUUCAGCCGGUUCUGCCGGUCUACUCCCUUCGGUCGGGUCAACAUCGGUUUUGACCGGCGGAUAAGGAAGGGAGGAAUGUGGCACCCUCCGGGGUGUGUUAUAGCCUCCCGUCGCAUACGUCGGUCGAGACCGAGGAACGCAGCUCGCCUUUAUGGCCGGGGUUCGCCCACGUCCGAGCUUAGGAUGUUGACAUAAUGGCUUUAAACGACCCGUCUUGAACCCACGGGACCA